CGCAGAGGGAGUGAGUGCCGCUGCCCUUUGGGCCACUGCAAAGCGUCGCUCAAAGAAAAACCCAGAUGCCCCCCUACAAAGCCGCAAGUUUAGGCAAUAAUGUUUCCAUGUGGAUUGGCCCCUUUACAUGAGGUUUCGAUGCUUUUCAGAACUUCACUGGACAGUGACCUAAAGGUUAACAGCCGGAAAAGUUCCUAGCCAGACACUUAUGUAGUAACGACGUGCCCAAGCAUUUUCCUGGCGUCUAGAGAAAACGUUAAAAACAAAAGCUUUGGAUCCGGUUGGGGGCAGGGGGACGAGGGAAGCACGCCUGCAACCAGCAAGCAGUUCAGUGCAGGAAAUGCACGCUGCAUAAAAUCCGGGGGGACUGGCGUGGUACAGACAAUGAGUGCAUUUGUCUGUAGGGCGGGAAGCGGUUUCCCAGAGCGCACGAGAUUUGCAUAGGUGAAAGGGAACUCAUCUUUUACAGAAGAUGAAUUAUUCUAAAGGAAUCUUGCCCUAGGUUGUUUAGAGACGGGUGCAUACAGAUUUCCUGGAUGAAACAGGAGGUGCUGCUAGCAAAAUGCCUUCUUUCUCACCUCGUGCAAUGUAAAAUAACCGAUACCACACUAAAAGCAAAUAUUUAAAAGUCGGAGGUGUAUCCGUGAGCCCCAGACACCGCCUUAGAAUCGUUUUCAAGCAACCACUUCUCUCAAGUUCACGCAAAGGAAAGGGAGGAAGAUGAGCAGAGUUUUAUUCGAGGAUCGUUGGAAGCAAGGACUUCAUUUCACAAAGCUUCUACAUUCAGAAAGAUUGCAGGAGGCAUACUUUGAUCAAGGAACAGGAAAAAAGCAGAGAACAAAUGAAGCACGUUCUUUUAGUGAGAAGGAGAUAAAGCAAGAGGGAAAAUUGAGGAGGGUUAGAGGGGGCUGCGGGGAGUGGGGAGGACCAGUGCAGGGACUAAGUGCAAAGCUUAUGCACAACCACACAUACCCCUACCCUUGAAAAAGGCGAUGCCCAUAGCUGUAGUUUAUGUAUUUAGGUAUAUUAGGAUUCUGAUUCCACCAUAACAAACUAAUUUGAGCUAGCUUGAGCAUUAAAGACUUCAUGCAUGCUGAUUUUUCUCCUGUAACCCAAAUCAGGAAUGCAGAUGAGCCUGAGGAACGAUGGACCUGAACCGGAAGACAGCACGUCUAAAGCACCUAAUCUCUGUCUACUCGAGUUUUCUGUCUGUUCCUUUAUCCAACUCUGUUGUACACAGCAGGACUGGACUCUGGCUCCUGGCUUUAUAGUUCUAAUCACCUGGAGGACCUGACUGGAGACCUCUCCCUCCCAGUUCCAACUGUCUUAAGGGAAAAGUAAGGAAUCCGAGUGGCCCAGCUCAGAUUAGGUGACCAUCACCAAGAAACUUAACAAUACUUCAUAUUCUGGCGAUGGCGGAUAUGGGAAAGAGUGGGCAGGAAGAUUCGGCCAAUGGAAGAGAGAUUCCCCAUCGUGAAUUAUGAAAAGUCACAUGCCAGAGUUGAUGGCAUUGUCUUCCGAACGAGGUCAUCCUUGGCCUUUCCCUCAGGACCUCCUCGUUUCUGGGAGUAACUCGUACGCUGUACUUCAGCUGUAACCAAAUGGUCAGAGUCAAGACCAUUCUGGAGUUGCUCUUACCAUUGAACUUUCUGGGAUGGAGGAAAUGUUUUGUGUUCGCGGUGCCCGAUUCAGUAGGACUAGCUCUGUCUGAUUAACAUGCCCUUGAAAUACGGCUAGUGCAUCUGAGGAAACGACUGUUUCAUUUUAUUUCACUCUAACUGGCUCAAAGUUAACUAUGUGCUAGUGAGCACCACACUGGAAAGCAGAGGUCCCAGCUAGAGAGGACUUACUCCAAUGAAUAGGGCAUGUCCUUGAGGGAGUGAGGUAGCAGCAAGCAAAAUCCAAUUAUCAACUAUCGUAAGUAAUGAUAUAUGUUAUGAGUUAUUUAAAAACUGGGUUUAUGUGAAUUAUUAAAAAAAAAAAACCUGGAGCGUUG